rnacentral:lncRNA from 1 species
CUUUAUCCCCCAUGUGACCUUUUUGAAGAGUUUGAGAGAAAAGAAUAGGAGACUAUUUGAGGGCAUUGUAUCUAAUGUUGCUAGCACAAGAGAGCACUAGUUUCACACCUUAAGUCUAUUUUAUUCCUAUGUCAUUCCAUGCUUGAUAAAGUCUUAGAGGAGCUAGUUGAUUUUUUAGCUACAGCUUUUGCGUAACUUCUACUUUCUUUAUUUUGUAGCUUUUGUAAAUG